CAGUAGCCGCGGGAAUACGAAGGGGGCUAGCGUUGUUCGGAUUUACUGGGCGUAAAGCGCACGUAGGCGGACAUUUAAGUCCGGGGUGAAAUCCCAGAGCUCAACUCUGGAACUGCCUUUGAUACUGGGUGUCUGGAGUAUGGAAGAGGUAAGUGGAAUUCCGAGUGUAGAGGUGAAAUUCGUAGAUAUUCGGAGGAACACCAGUGGCGAAGGCGGCUUACUGGUCCAUUACUGACGCUGAGGUGCGAAAGCGUGGGGAGCAAACAGGAUUAGAUACCCCGGUAGUCCCUGUCUCUUAUAC
rnacentral:rRNA from 1 species